AGAGUUUGAUCAUGGCUCAGAGCGAACGCUGGCGGCAGGCUUAACACAUGCAAGUCGAGCGGGCGUAGCAAUACGUCAGCGGCAGACGGGUGAGUAACGCGUGGGAACAUACCUUUUGGUUCGGAACAACACAGGGAAACUUGUGCUAAUACCGAAUAAGCCCUUACGGGGAAAGAUUUAUCGCCGAAAGAUUGGCCCGCGUCUGAUUAGCUAGUUGGUGAGGUAACGGCUCACCAAGGCGACGAUCAGUAGCUGGUCUGAGAGGAUGAUCAGCCACAUUGGGACUGAGACACGGCCCAAACUCCUACGGGAGGCAGCAGUGGGGAAUAUUGGACAAUGGGCGCAAGCCUGAUCCAGCCAUGCCGCGUGAGUGAUGAAGGCCCUAGGGUUGUAAAGCUCUUUUGUGCGGGAAGAUAAUGACGGUACCGCAAGAAUAAGCCCCGGCUAACUUCGUGCCAGCAGCCGCGGUAAUACGAAGGGGGCUAGCGUUGCUCGGAAUCACUGGGCGUAAAGGGUGCGUAGGCGGGUCUUUAAGUCAGGGGUGAAAUCCUGGAGCUCAACUCCAGAACUGCCUUUGAUACUGAGGAUCUUGAGUUCGGGAGAGGUGAGUGGAACUGCGAGUGUAGAGGUGAAAUUCGUAGAUAUUCGCAAGAACACCAGUGGCGAAGGCGGCUCACUGGCCCGAUACUGACGCUGAGGCACGAAAGCGUGGGGAGCAAACAGGAUUAGAUACCCUAGUAGUCC
rnacentral:rRNA from 1 species